rnacentral:rRNA from 1 species
CCUACGGGUGGCAGCAGUGGGGAAUAUUGGUCAAUGGACGAGAGUCUGAACCAGCCAAGUAGCGUGAAGGAUGACUGCCCUAUGGGUUGUAAACUUCUUUUAUAAGGGAAUAAAGUGUGGGACGUGUCCUAUUUUGUAUGUACAUUAUGAAUAAGGAUCGGCUAACUCCGUGCCAGCAGCCGCGGUAAUACGGAGGAUCCGAGCGUUAUCCGGAUUUCUUGGGUUUAAAGGGUGCGCAGGCGGCCUGUUAAGUCAGCGGUAAAAGCCCGGGGCUCAACCCCGGCGAGCCGUUGAAACUGGCGGGCUGGAGUUGGAGAGAAGUACGCGGAAUGCGCGGUGUAGCGGUGAAAUGCUUAGAUAUCGCGCAGAACCCCGAUUGCGAAGGCAGCGUACCGGCUCCACACUGACGCUGAGGCACGAAAGCGUGGGUAUCGAACAGGAUUAGAUACCCCAGUAGUC